CACGGAUGUUGAAGGUGCUUCUAAUUGAGGAGGAAGUGAGGACGCAGUUGUUGGAAGCUGGAGGGAAGGCUGUCCUUGUGUUGUUGGUGGCAGAGACUCCGCUGGGCUGUGCGCUACUGUCAGGCAGAGGCAGAAUUCUUAAGUGAUGAACUGGGAUAUUUAGCUAAGAAGAUUUCCAAGCAAAGUGUGGAAGGUGCAGCCUAAUUUAUUUCUGCUGCUCAUAGUAAAGUAUGAGAGGAAACAGGGAGAUUCAGAACGGCACCUGGCCGAUCCGCCAAAAGACUAUCAAAAAAAAAAAAAAAAAUUCAGGGCAGAACUGCUGUAAGAAACCAGAACUUGAAGGUUUGGGAGGUGCUCAGCCUGUCCAGCUUGCAAAGGGUCUUAAAUUAGGAGAUUCACUGUUGGCAAAGCCUGCUUUGGAGAGAAGCCCACAGGUGUGGCCAGACAGCCUCAUGCUGGAGGCGCCAGGUGUGCGGCAGCAGCCUCCACCGUCUCCGCAGAGGCCUGAAGAUGGAGCUAUCUGGGAAGGAUGUGCAGAGGGGCCUCUUGUCUAACAGCAUUGUGGCCUGCGGCAUAUUCAGGAGGCCCUGGAGGUUUUGGGGAGUUUCAUACCAGCAGAAACUAGAUUGGCAGAGACAGUGUUGGACGAAGGUAAGAAGGCAUCGAACUUCGGGAGUCUGCAGGCAGGAAACAGGCUGGUGGCGCUCCUCAGCUGUGAACACGAGCUGCCCUUCAGGAAAUGGGGAACGACCCCGAGGUUCCCGCAGAGGCCAGCGGGGCCAAGAGCCCCCGAGGAGCGUCCCCAGAGCUGUGCCACGUGGAGUUUGCCCCGCUGGAUUGGAAACCGUGGUGGCCGGUGGCCCCUCUGUCACUCUCCCUUUUUGAGUGGGAAGGGCUGUCCUGCCGUUGAUAUUUUAAGCAGGUGGCUUGUUUUCUAGAUUCACAAGCCCAUGCAUGGAGGACCUUAGCCCCAGGUUGGCGCACACCCACGAUCUCACACGUACCUGAUUUAAGUGAUUGCCAUGACUUUAGAGGAUGGGAUUUGGGAUGUUUUGAAUGGAUGGGAUUUCUUUUUUUUUUUCUCCGAGACCGAGUCUCCCUGUGUCACUCAGGCUGGAGUGCAGUGGCGCAAUCACAGCUCACUGCAACUUCUGCCUCCUGGAUUCAAGUGAUUCUCCUCCCUCAACCUCCCAAGUACCUGGGAUUACAGGCGCCUGCCACCACACCCAGCUAAUUUUUGUAUUUUUAGUCAAGAUGGGGUUUCACCAUGUUGGUCAGGCUGGUCUCAGAGCUCCUGACCUCAUGAUCCACCCACCUCGGCCUCCCAAAGUGCUGGGAUUACAGGUGUGAGCCACUGUGCCUGGCCAACGGAUGGGAUUUCGAUGAGGUUUUGGACACACAGUCCAUGCUGCAGAGGGUGGAGAUUUUGGGGGAUCUUGGGAGGGGUGAGUGUAUUCUGGACAUAAGACAGACAUGAAUUUUGGGGGGUCGGGGGAAUGCAGUGGGUUGAAUGCUGGUCUCCAAAAUGUCCCAGAAUGUGCAAAUGUGACCUGAUUUGGAAAAAGUGUCCUUGCAGCUGUAACUGAGCUUGGGAUCUUGAGAUGAGAUCAUGCUGGAACAUCCUGAUGAGCCUGGUGACAGCUUGAGCCCUAGCCCAGUGACAGCUGUCCUUACAGAGGUAGAGGAGGAGAAGACACAGAGACACAGAGAAUGUCGUGGAGAGACGGAGGCAGAGAUGGGGCAGUGCAGCCACAAGCCAAGGACGCCUGGGCCACCGGGAGCUGCAGGAGGCAAUGGGGGACCCUCCCCAAGAGCGUGGACCAUGUUCCACGGCAACACGGUCCCUGUCACAUGAAGUAUUUGGAAGUGCACCAAAGAGCCUGCUUAUAACACGGCGUACCAGCCGGGGCACCAGCCCAGAAACAGCCCCAAAUGAGACGCCGGAAGGCCCAGACAGCUUUGCCUGCAGGAAGAGGCCGGGACCGUUGGUCAGUGGCGCAAACCCUGGGCUCACUGACUGUGGCGCAAUGGAGCCAUCCCUGGAAAGUCACGCGGAAGAGAAUCAUUCCAUUAGGAUGAGCAUGGAAAAAAGAGUUGGAGCAGCUCAGUCUGUCUCGAAAAUUGAUUGAAAUUAAACUCGCUUCCGGAGCUUUCUUCAGCAAACA